rnacentral:rRNA from 1 species
UAACCUACUAAAUAGUUACGCGAACCUUUGCGUUCGUGGCCAACUUCUUAGAGGGACUUUUGCGUGCUUUAACCAAAGGAAGUUUGAGGCAAUAACAGGUCUGUGAUGCCCUUAGAUGUUCUGGGCCGCACGCGCGCUACACUGAUACGUUCAGCAAGUUUACAACCUUGACCGGCAGGUCUGGGUAAUCUUCUAAAGCGUAUCGUGAUGGGGAUAGAUCUUUGUAAUUUUGGAUCUUCAACGAGGAAUUCCUAGUAAACGCGAGUCAUCAGCUCGCAUUGAUUACGUCCCUGCCCUUUGUACACACCGCCCGUCGCU